rnacentral:lncRNA from 1 species
UGUGCUCUGUAGAGAAUCAUGAAUUCAAAAAAUAUGCAAGUAUUUUUUACUUUUUACAUUGCUGCAUCAAAGCAUCUUCCAUGUCCAUCUCGAGGUUGGGCAGCUCGGACAGAUCAAGUUAUGGGUACAAAAUUCAAAGUGCAUUCCGACAAAAGCUGUAGUCGAAAUAAUAUUCGACAGUAAAUGUCGUGUGGAUCAUCGAUUAAGAACUGUCCAUCAGCUGCUUGUGAGUUCGAGAAGAAGUUCCUUCUCCUCUUGCC